ACAGAGACUGCAAGCGUUAUUCGGAUUCACUGGGCGUAAAGGGUGCGCAGGCGGCCGUGUGUGUGAGGCGUGAAAGCCUGGGGCUCAACCCCGGGUCGGCCGUGCGAACUGGGGGGCUGGAGCACUGUAGAGGCAGGCGGAAUUCCGGGUGUAGCGGUGGAAUGCGUAGAGAUCCGGAAGAACACCGGUGGCGAAGGCGGCCUGCUAGGCAGUUGCUGACACUGAGGCGCGACAGCGUGGGGAGCAAACAGGA
rnacentral:rRNA from 1 species